rnacentral:rRNA from 1 species
ACGGGAGGCAGCAGUGAGGAAUAUUGGUCAAUGGUCGAGAGACUGAACCAGCCAAGUAGCGUGAUGGACGACGGCCCUAUGGGUCUUAAACAUCUUUUAUAGGGGAAUAAAGUCAGGUACGCGUACCAGUUUGCAUGUACCCUAUGAAUAAGCAUCGGCUAAUUCCGUGCCAGCAGCCGCGGUAAUACGGAAGAUGCGAGCGUUAUCCGGAUUUAUUGGGUUUAAAGGGAGCGUAGGCGGUCCCAUAAGUCUGCGGUAAAAUGUCAACGCCCAACGUUGUCCCGCCGUGGAAACUGUGCGACUUGAAUACACACAAGGAAGAUGGAAUUCGUCGUGUAGCGGUGAAAUGCUUAGAUAUGACGAAGAACUCCGAUUGCGAAGGCAGUCUUCUGGAGUGCGAUUGACGCUGAGGCUCGAAAGUGCGGGUAUCAAACAGGAUUAGAUACCCUGGUA